CACGUAGGGGGCAAGCGUUGUCCGGAUUUAUUGGGCGUAAAGAGCUCGUAGGCGGUUCGGUAAGUCGGGUGUGAAAGCCCCGGGCUCAACCUGGGAACCGCGCUUGAGACUGGCACGCUCGAGUUCGGGAGAGGAUGGUGGAAUUCCCAGUGUAGAGGUGAAAUUCGUAGAUAUUGGGAAGAACACCGAUGGCGAAGGCAGCCAUCUGGACCGACACUGACGCUGAGGCGCGAAAGCGUGGGGAGCAAACAGG
rnacentral:rRNA from 1 species